AACGAACGCUGGCGGCAGGCCUAAAACAUGCAAGUCGAACGGGUGUAGCAAUACAUCAGUGGCGCACGGGUGAGUAACGCGUGGGAACGUGCCCUUCAGUACGGGACAACGUCGGGAAACUGACGCUAAUACCGUAUAAUAUCUCAGGAUCAAAGAUUUAUCGCUGAAGGAUCGGCCCGCGUCUGAUUAGUUUGUUGGUGAGGUAACGGCUCACCAAGACUACGAUCAGUAGCUGGUCUGAGAGGAUGAUCAGCCACACUGGGACUGAGACACGGCCCAGACUCCUACGGGAGGCAGCAGUUAGGAAUAUUGGACAAUGGGGGAAACCCUGAUCCGGCCAUGCCGCGUGUGUGAUGAAGGCCUUAGGGUUGUAAAGCACUUUCGUUGGGGAUGAUAAUGACCGUACCCAAAGAAGAAGCCACGGCUAAAUUCGUGCCAGCCGCCGCUGUAA
rnacentral:rRNA from 1 species